GGGUCAGUAGGUUGGUCGUGCCACCGGUACGUACUGGUCUCACUGAUUCCUCCUCCCUGAAGAACCGUAAUGCCAUUAAUUUGGUGUUGCGGGGAAACAGGACUGUUACUUUGAAAAAAUUAGAGUGUUUAAAGCAAGCUAGCGCUUGAAUACAUUAGCAUGGAAUAAUGAAAUAGGACGAUCGAUCCUAUUUUGUUGGUUUCUAGGAUUGACGUA
rnacentral:rRNA from 1 species